rnacentral:lncRNA from 10 species
CGCGGGUAUCUUCAGGAGACAGAGCUCCUGGCUGCAGCGAGCCGGGACUUGCCGCGCCCCGGGGCUCCCUCAAUCAGACCCAGCCAGGCAAGCGCGGCCACAUAGGCAAGCGCGGCCACAUAGGCUAGACGCACUAUCUUCUCCUCUACCCCGCGCCGCCCUCCACCUCGGAGCGGGGACGUACGGUGGUGGCGGUGACACAAUGCGAAGCCUUUGGAAGGAAUUGGGCCAUGAGAAGAGCCCUCAUGAAUGGGAUUAGUUCCCUUAUAAGAAGAGACACCAAGGAAGUGAUCUUUCUCUGCCCUCUGCUAUGUGAAGACAAGGUCAUCUGCAGUUUUUUGUUGUUGUUGAUGAUCUUCCUGUCAUAGACAAUGCUGUAACAAACAGACUAAUUGUUCACUGUUGACAUAUAGAAGUACUACUGAUUGGCCAGACAUAGUGGCUCAUGCCUGGAAUCCCAGCACUUUGGGAGGCCAAGGCAGGUGGAUCACUUGAGCCCAGAAGUUUGAGACCAGCCUGGGCAACAUGAUGAAACCCCAUCUCUACAAAAUAAAUAGAAAAAUUAGCUGGGUAUGGUGGCAUGUGCCAGUAGUCCCAGCUACAUGGGAGCCUGAGGUGGGAGGACGACUUGAGCCCAGGAGGUGGAGGUUACAGUGAGCUGAGAUCAUGCCACUGCACUCCAGCCUGGGUGACAGAGUGGGACUCUGUCUAAAAAAAAAAUUGUAUUAUCUGUAAACGGAAAUAUAAAUAAUUUAACUUCUUCUUUUCCAAUUUGGAUUCCCUUUAUUUCUUUCACCUGUAUGAUUGCUUUAGCUAGAGCUUCCGGUAAUAUGUUGAAUAACAGUGAUGACCAGUGGGCAUCCUUGCUGUGUUCCAGAUCUUAGAGAAAAGACUUUCAGUUUUUUUCCCCAUUUAGUAUAUGAGCUGUGGACCUGUAAUAUAUGGCUUUUAUUAUGUUGAGGUAUGUUACUUCUAUACCUAGUUUUCUUAGGUUUUGUUUUUUUUUA